UCAAGAGAAAAAAAAUUUUAUUUUGAUGAGUUUGAGUGAUGAUAAGUUUGAAUGAUUCUAGUGAAAGCAUCCUGAUCCGUGAUUGUCAGGUAGUAUGCCAUCACCUUGAUCAGACCAUGAAUCCUUAGAUUUGAUCAUCCAUGAUCCCGAUCUAGCCAUGACUUGAUUAGAUUAUGUUGAUUUCACCAAUCGAGAUAUUGGACCAAUCGUAAU
rnacentral:lncRNA from 1 species